rnacentral:rRNA from 1 species
CCCUUAGAUGUUCUGGGCCGCACGCGUGCUACACUGAGUGGAUCAGCGGGUCGGGUUGCGCGAAAGUGUUUCCUAAUCUUGAAAUCCGCUCGUGAUGGGGAUUGACGGUUGCAAUUUUCCGUCAUGAACGAGGAAUACCUUGUAAGCGCGGGUCAUCAUCCCGCGCUGAAUACGUCCCUGCCCUUUGUACACACCGCCCGUCGCUCCUACCGAUUGAGUGGUCCGGUGAGGCUUUGGGAUCUGAGCGGAAAGAGCGUUUCGCUGUUUCUGCCCGGAAAACUCAGUCGAACCUUAUCAUUUAGAGGAAGGAGAAGUCGUAACA